GAUGAACGCUGGCGGCGUGCCUAAUACAUGCAAGUCGAGCGAACGGACGAGAAGCUUGCUUUUCUGAUGUUAGCGGCGGACGGGUGAGUAACACGUGGAUAACCUACCUAUAAGACUGGGAUAACUUCGGGAAACCGGAGCUAAUACCGGAUAAUAUUUUGAACCGCAUGGUUCAAAAGUGAAAGACGGUCUUGCUGUCACUUAUAGAUGGAUCCGCGCUGCAUUAGCUAGUUGGUAAGGUAACGGCUUACCAAGGCAACGAUGCAUAGCCGACCUGAGAGGGUGAUCGGACACACUGGAACUGAGACACGGUCCAGACUCCUACGGGAGGCAGCAGUAGGGAAUCUUCCACAAUGGGCGGAAGCCUGACGGAGCAACGCCGCGUGAGUGAUGAAGGUCUUCGGAUCGUAAAACUCUGUUAUUAGGGAAGAACAUAUGUGUAAGUAACUGUGCACAUCUUGACGGUACCUAAUCAGAAAGCCACGGCUAACUACGUG
rnacentral:rRNA from 1 species